rnacentral:lncRNA from 1 species
UAGAAAUUGCAAUUAAAGCGAGGAGCUGAGGUGCGGAUUUAGAAGUCAAAAGUCAUAAGAAUGACAAAGGACCGGAUCCCACCAGGAGCAGCCAAGCCACGACGCCGUGAAGUUUGCGGCGGCGGAGGUAUCUUGGGACGUCACGUGAGGCAGUUGUUGGAGGUUGUUUGGGGCCUUGCUGGAGGCUUUGGUACUUGUUGGCUGGGUUGGGGCUGGCGCCCGUUGGGUCAGGACUUCGGGCGGUAGCUGCUCCGGAUAGCUGCUGGGGUUCCAGAGCUGGUUGUUGUUGGGGAGCGAGGGGAAGCAAGGAAGGGAAACUGCUGAAGACAUGACAGGGCAGGAACGUCUUUGGAUGAGCAAGGCAUCUUUUAGGUUUCAGAGGAAUAUCGUGGAGUGCAAAAUGUAUGCUUAGUCAGGACAGGAUAAGAUCAAGGACGGGAGCACAGGAGACAACACCUCAUCAAGGGGGAGAGGUAGAGGAGCUCAGCAGGAUGACCUGGCGAUGUACGCAGUCCGAGGGUACGAAAUGCAGCUGCUUUGGUAUAGCACCGUACUGCUGAUGCCCCUUAAGAUGUUUAGUACGAUUUAAAAGGCUUAGAAACCAGGAAGGCCUUUUGACGACCGCACCAGCGAGUCAGUCCGAUCCAUUGUGUAAAGCCACUCACACAUGGGUUAAAAGUUUCUAUCGUCCAUUUCAUAAGAAACAGAACACUGUAAGAGCCGUCUCUUACCUUAGCUGUUUUAUUAGCGGAAGAGGAAGGUCUUGUCCACGAUUGGCGACCCAGCGUUAGGCGCGAAAAGAGACAAGGGAAGUCGGGAUUUGCAGACAUACGUAGAGAACGGUGACAGCAAGGUCUUGAACCCUGAACACUAGUAUAGUGAUACAGAAGUGUCUGGCCGAAGCACUUCACCUGGGUGGCUUAAAUGCGGCCUCACCUGCCGCCAUCUCCAUUCCUGGAGUCUUGGUGUCGUACGCUAGGUUGUGAUAGCGUAACAGAAAGUGAGUUCGUACAGUUAACGAGUAUGGUUCGUAACUACGGGACCGUACCGUUACUGUGAUUAAGCUUUAAUAGCUUAAAGAUAUUCUAAGGUAAAUGUAGCUUGCUACAAACAUCCACCAUUCAGCAUAUUGGAUCUGCUCUACAGCUGCU